rnacentral:rRNA from 1 species
CACGUAGGGCGCGAGCGUUGUCCGGAAUUAUUGGGCGUAAAGAGCUCGUAGGCGGCCUGUUGCGUCCGCUGUGAAAGCCCGGGGCUUAACCCCGGGUCGGCAGUGGAUACGGGCAGGCUAGAGGUAGGUAGGGGAGAAUGGAAUUCCCGGUGUAGCGGUGAAAUGCGCAGAUAUCGGGAAGAACACCCGUGGCGAAAGCGGCUCUCUGGAACGGUACUGACGCUGAGACGCGAAAGCGUGGGGAGCGAACAGG